rnacentral:rRNA from 1 species
AUACUCAAUAGUCUCUUCGGAGUAAAGCUUGGAAGACUAUUCUAGAACUCAAUUUUACUGUAAAUCUAUAAUUUUAGUUAAAUUUAUCAAAAAUUUCUUUGAAUUAGCUUUGGCUAGUCCUGCAAAAAUUAUUUGAAAAAUUUAUCAAAAAAUUAUUGAUUUUCGUAACAAACUGAGUUUUAAAACAGUCUUCUUGGCGGAAUGAGAGUGGCCUGCGUCCUAUCAGCUAGUUGGUAAGGUAAAAGCUUACCAAGGCUAUGACGGGUAGGGGGCGUGAGAGCGUGAUCCCCAACAUUGGCACUGAGACACUGGCCAAACACCUACGGGUGGCUGCAGUCGAGAAUCUUCGGCAAUGCACGAAAGUGUGACCGAGCGACGCCGCGUGCGGGAUGAAGACCUUCGGGUUGUAAACCGUUUUUAUAAGGGAGGAAGCCGUGCUUUUCUUUUGUUUAGUACGCCUGAGUUUAUAAAGUAAAAAGUUUUUAAAGUUUUUAAGGGAUUUCCUUUUUAGAUUUUUUAACUUUUGAAAUUUUUGACUUAGGUGCGAUAAAUAAAAGUAAGGCACGGAUCGACAGUACCUUAUGAAUAAGGGGUUGCUAAUUGCGUGCCAGCAGCAGCGGUAAUACGCAAACCCCAAGCGUUAUCCGGAUUUAUUGGGCGUAAAGGGUGGGUAGGCGGAUAUAAAAGUCAAUCGUUAAAUCACUGAGCUCAACUCAGUAAUCGCGAUUGAAACGUUAUGUCUAGAGAUAAGUAGAGGUUAACGGAACUCAUGGUGUAGCAGUGAAAUGCGUUGAUAUCAUGGGGAACACCAAAUGCGAAGGCAGUUAACUGGGCUUUAUCUGACGCUGAGCCACGAAAGCGUGGGAAGUGAAGGGGAUUAGAUACCCCCGUAGUCCACGCCGUAAACGCUGUACACUAGACAUUGGGAGUUUCGACCCUUUCAGUGUCGUAGCUAACGCGAUAAGUGUACCGCCUGGGAAGUACGGCCGCAAGGUUAAAACUCAAAGGAAUAGACGGGGAUCCGCACAAGCGGUGGAGCAUGUGGUUUAAUUCGACACAACGCGAGGAACCUUACCAGGGUUAGUAUCCUGCUGCACGCCUUGAGAAAUCAAGGAAGCCUACGAGGGUGCAGGACAGGCGUUGCAUGGUUGUCGUCAGCUCGUGCUGUGAAGUGUUCCAUUAAGUUGGGUAACGAGCGCAACCCCUAUCGUGUGUUAUACGUGUCACGCGAGACUGCCUAGCAUUAAGCGCACUUGGUGCUUAAUUUUCAAUUUUCAAUUUUCAAUUUACAAUAAAUUUUCAAUGAUUAAGUAGAGAGGAAAUGGUGGAAUUGUGAUUAAGUAUUUAGUAAAGCGUGUUUAAUGCUGGGAGGAAGGUGGGGAUGACGUCAAAUCAGCAUGGCCCUAGACACCCUGGGCUACACACAUGCUACAAUGGCCGAUACAAAGGGUCGCGAUAUCGCAAGAUUGAGCUAAUCCCAAAAAGUCGGUCUCAGUUCGGAUUGAGGUCUGCAACUCGACCUCAUGAAGUUGGAAUCGCUAGUAAUCCCGAAUCAGCCACGUCGGGGUGAAUACGUUCCCGGAUCUUGUACUCACCGCCCGUCACAUCAAGGGAGCUGGGAGUGCCUGAAGGUCCUUCUUUCGAGAGGGAACCACGGCAAGCUCAGUGAUCAGGAUGAAGUCGUAACAAGGCAUCCGUAGCGGAAGCUGUGGAUG